rnacentral:rRNA from 1 species
GAGUUUGAUCCUGGCUCAGAACGAACGCUGGCGGCAGGCCUUAUACAUGCAAGUCGAGCGCAUCCUUUGGGAUGAGCGGCGGACGGGUGAGUAACGCGUGGGAAUGUGCCCUUCUCUACGGAAUAGCCACUGGAAACGGUGAGUAAUACCGUAUACGCCCUCAGGGGGAAAGAUUUAUCGGAGAAGGAUCAGCCCGCGUUAGAUUAGGUAGUUGGUGGGGUAACGGCCUACCAAGCCUACGAUCUAUAGCUGGUUUUAGAGGAUGAUCAGCCACACUGGGACCGAGACACGGCCCAGACUCCUACGGGAGGCAGCAGUAGGGAAUCUUGGACAAUGGGGGCAACCCUGAUCCAGCCAUGCCGCGUGAGUGAAGAAGGCCCUAGGGUCGUAAAGCUCUUUCGCCUGUGAUGAUAAUGACAGUAGCAGGUAAAGAAACCCCGGCUAACUCCGUGCCAGCAGCCGCGGUAAUACGGAGGGGGUUAGCGUUGUUCGGAAUUACUGGGCGUAAAGCGCGCGUAGGCGGAUUGGAAAGUUGGGGGUGAAAUCCCGGGGCUCAACCCCGGAACUGCCUUCAAAACUCCCAGUCUAGAGUUCGAGAGAGGUGAGUGGAAUUCCGAGUGUAGAGGUGAAAUUCGUAGAUAUUCGGAAGAACACCAGUGGCGAAGGCGGCUCACUGGCUCGAUACUGACGCUGAGGUGCGAAAGUGUGGGGAGCAAACAGGAUUAGAUACCCUGGUAGUCCACACCGUAAACGAUGAAUGCCAGUCGUCGGAUAGUAUACUAUUCGGUGACACACCUAACAGAUUAAGCAUUCCGCCUGGGGAGUACGGUCGCAAGAUUAAAACUCAAGG